rfam:Dipodomys ordii contig_50811, whole genome shotgun sequence.
GGUGGCUCAGUGGUAGAGUGCUUGCCUUGCAUGCAUGAGGCCCUGGGUUCAAUUCCCCAACACCA